CCUACGGGAGGCAGCAGUGGGGAAUCUUCCGCAAUGGGCGAAAGCCUGACGGAGCAACGCCGCGUGAUCGAAUGAAGGCCUUCGGGUUGUAAAGAUCUGUGUACAGGGACGAAUAAGCCAUGCUAAUAGUUUGGUGUAUGACGGUACCUGUUUAGAAAGCUCCGGCUAACUACGUGCCAUCAGCCGCGGUAAUACGUAGGGAGCAAGCGUUGUCCGGAAUUACUGGGCGUAAAGGGCGCGGAGGUGGGUGCUUAAGUCAGGUGUGAAAACUCUGGGCUCAACCUGGGGAAUGCACUUGAGACUGGGUAUCUUGAGGGCAGGAGAGGAAAGUGGAAUGUCUAGUGUAGCGGUGAAAUGCGUAGAUAUUAGGAGGAACACCAGUGGCGAAGGCGACUUUCUGGACUGUACCUGACGCUGAGGCGCGAAAGCGUGGGUAGCGAACGGGAUUAGAUACCCCGGUAGUC
rnacentral:rRNA from 1 species